rnacentral:misc_RNA from 1 species
GUGAAGAACGUAGCGAAAUGCGAUACGUAAUGUGAAUUGCAGAAUUCAGUGAAUCAUCGAAUCUUUGAACGCAUAUUGCGCUCUUUGGUAUUCCGAAGAGCAUGCUUGUUUGAGUAUCAGUAAACACCUCAAAGUCUUUUUUUCUUGAAGAAAAAGACCUUGGACUUGAGCAAUCCCAACUCUUCUUUCAGAAGAGGCGGGUUGCUUGAAAUGCAGGUGCAGCUGGACAUUCUCCUGAGCUAAAAGCAUAUUCAUUUAGUCCCGUCAAACGGAUUAUUACUUUUGCUGCAGCUAACAUAAAGGGAGUUUGACCAUUUUGGCUGACUGAUGCAGGAAUUUCACAAGAGUCUUCAAAACGCUCUUGUUAAACUCGAUCUCAAAUCAAGUAAGACUACCCGCUGAACUUAAGCAUAUCAAUAAGCGGAGGA